rnacentral:snRNA from 1 species
UAGUGCUGGUAUGAUCGCA